UGGGGAAUUUUGCACAAUGGGGGAAACCCUGAUGCAGCGACGCCGCGUGAUUUAGAAGGCCUUCGGGUUGUAAAAAUCUUUUCUAUGGGAAGAAAAUGACAGUACCAUAGGAAUAAGGACCGGCUAAUUACGUGCCAGCAGCCGAGGUAAUACGUAAGGUCCGAGCGUUGUCCGGAAUCAUUGGGCGUAAAGGGUACGUAGGCGGGUAAGCAAGUUAGAAGUGAAAUCCUAUAGCUCAACUAUAGUAAGCUUUUAAAACUGCUCAUCUUGAGGUAUGGAAGGGAAAGUGGAAUUCCUAGUGUAGCGGUGAAAUGCGCAGAUAUUAGGAGGAAUACCGGUGGCGAAGGCGACUUUCUGGCCAUAACCUGACGCUGAGGUACGAAAGCGUGGGUAGCAAACAGG
rnacentral:rRNA from 2 species